rnacentral:tRNA from 1 species
GACGUCGUGCCAGAGUGGUUAAUGGGUAUGACUCGAACGAGAUCCAUCUAUUAGAUAUCAUAUGUCUUCGGACGCGCAGGUUCGAAUCCUGCCGGCGUCG